rnacentral:rRNA from 1 species
AUUGAACGCUGGCGGCAUGCUUUACACAUGCAAGUCGAACGGAUUUUGGAGCUUGCUCCAGAGUUAGUGGCGAACGGGUGAGUAAUAUAUCGGAACGUACCCGGCAAUGGGGGAUAACGUAGCGAAAGUUACGCUAAUACCGCAUAUGCCCUGAGGGGGAAAGCAGGGGACCAGAGAUGGCCUUGCGUUGUCGGAGCGGCCGAUAUCGGAUUAGCUAGUUGGUGAGGUAAAGGCUCACCAAGGCGAGGAUCCGUAGCAGGUCUGAGAGGAUGAUCUGCCACACUGGGACUGAGACACUGCCCAGACUCCUACGGGAGGCAGCAGUGGGGAAUUUUGGACAAUGGGCGAAAGCCUGAUCCAGCCAUGCCGCGUGAGUGAAGAAGGCCUUCGGGUUGUAAAGCUCUUUCAGGUGGAAAGAAAAGGUUACGGAUAAUACCUGUAACUGAUGACGGUACCAUCAGAAGAAGCACCGGCUAACUACGUGCCAGCCGCCGCCGUAAAAC